AGUGGCAACCCAGCAGAAUGGAAUAGAUAAACCUCUAGGUGCAGUUAGCGUAUGAUACAGUCCCUCUAUCGUGGAUCUCGACAGGAUGGAGAUCAUGGAUAAUCCGUCAAACUCCAUCAUCUGUCAUAUGUAAAAUUUAUUCGACUCUAGUUCGAGAUUGAAAAACUCUUUUUCCAAAAACUACCUUGGCCAAGGAUUUACGAACUCAGUCUCAUAAAUCACAUAGGAUCUCUCCUAAUCUAUCAAGGUCGAUAGAUUCCAUCUAGAUGCACCCCUA
rnacentral:lncRNA from 1 species